rnacentral:rRNA from 1 species
UAGGAAUCUACCUAGUAGUAUGGGAUAGCCACUAGAAAUGGUGGGUAAUACUGUAUAAUCCCUGCGGGGGAAAGAUUUAUCGCUAUUAGAUGAGCCUAUGUCAGAUUAGCUAGUUGGUGGGGUAAUGGCCUACCAAGGCGGUGAUCUGUAGCUGGUCUGAGAGGAUGAUCAGCCACACUGGAACUGAGACACGGUCCAGACUCCUACGGGAGGCAGCAGUGGGGAAUAUUGGACAAUGGGCGCAAGCCUGAUCCAGCUAUGCCGCGUGAGUGAGGAAGGCCUUAGGGUUGUAAAACUCUUUCAGUAGGGAAGAUAAUGACGGUACCUACAGAAGAAGUCCCGGCAAACUCCGUGCCAGCAGCCGCGGUAAUACGGAGGGGGCAAGCGUUGUUCGGAAUUAUUGGGCGUAAAGGGCAUGUAGGCGGUUUGGUAAGUUAAAGGUGAAAUACCAGGGCUUAACCCUGGGGCUGCAUUUAAUAA